UUCACCUUUCGUCCUCACAAAUUAACUCAAGCGCGCCCUUAGCUGGACCUGGACGAAAGGAAACCCCAAAAAUAAAACCCUAAUCAUAUAGUGCUCUAUCAAUUUUGAUUUUGAAAACAAAAAGAGAAAGAAAAAACCAAUGGCCAGGAACACCGAUCCGUCCAGUCGCAAGCAUCGCCGAUCGCCCCCAGAUGAUGAAGUGGAGAAGUCCUCAAAGCGACACAAACACCGACACCAUCGCCAUCACCGUUCCCACCGAAGCAAGAAGCACGGUGAGGAAAGUAACCAUGCUGUUGAUGAAACUGCUCGUUCUUCUCCUCCAAUGAAUCCUAUUGCUGGUACUGCUAAUAACAGGCUUGAUGAUGACGUGGAGGAAGGCGAGAUUUUGGAGGAGGAGGUUUCUGGUGGUGUUGUUGUAAAGGCCAUCGAAUUACGUGAGGAGAAAGUUGGUUCUCAAAAUCUGGGAGAACAUCCUUACUGUAUUGCCAAUGGCUUAACUGAUUCUUGCAAUUCUAGUAAGUUUGAAAGCAAACUUAAUUUGCCCAAAGGCCCUAUGGUCGAGAUUCAAGAUGAAUUAUUUCUGAGAGAAGAGCUUGAAGUUCGUACCAACGGAGAUUUGGAUUAUGAAUAUCAUAAAGCAGGUAAGAAACAUCAUGCAGAGUCUGUCUUUUGCAAUGGAAGUAACAAGCGAAAGAGUUAUCGUCAUGUUGAUACACCUGAGGGUGAUGAAAGCAAAUUGGGUGAUUGGGGGAAGUCAUCAUCUCCUGAAUGUGGGGGGGGUAAAAACCACACUGAAACAGGCUCAGCAUCUCAUGAUAUGUCCCAUGAUGAUGUAAUUGCUAGGAGUAGGUCAUUGUCACAUGAUUUUACUGGUGAGAGAUCUCAUUCCCACAGCAUAAUGGAAGAGGAGGUUCUUUUGAAGAGAGGACGACACACUGGUAAGUUGGAAACUUUUAUUGAUGAUGAAAGAAUGUCUAGACGUGAUAGGGAUCUGCUGCAUAGCAGUAAAGAUUUGGAAAGGGAGCAUAGAACCAGUUACAGCAGAAGUCUAGGAGGUGGGGACAGACACAGAAGCAGGGAUGCAUGUGGCCGAGAGGUGAGCAGGGAGAAGGACAACUGGGAAUGGAGAAAGAAUCAGGAACGAGAGAGGAGCUGGGACAGGGAUCAGAGAAGAGAGAAAGAUGGAAAAAGAAGCAGGGACAGGGAUCUGAGAAGAGAGAUGGAACAGGAGAAUAGGGACUGGGAUGGGAGAAGAGAGAAGGAAAGGGAGAGGAGCAGAGACAGGGAUGUGAGAAGAGAGAAGGAAAAGGAGAGAAGCAGGGACAGGGAUGUGAGGAGAGAGAAGGAAAGGGAGAGAAGCAGGGACAAGGAUGUGAGAAGAGAGAAGGAAAUAGAAAGGAGAACGGACCAGGAUAUGAGGAGAGAAAUGGAAAGGGAGAGGAUUAGAGACAGAGAGAUGGACAGGGAUCGGAAAAGAGAGAAGCAACGAGGGAGGAGCUUGGAGAGGGAUAGGAAGAGGGACAUGGAGGAGGAUCUGGACAAGAGAAGGCAGAAAGAAGGAGAUAAACACAUAGGUAAAGAUGUGGCUAGAUCUAGUGAUAUACACAGUGAUUGGGAAAAAGAGAGGGAGAAGGAUAGUGAAAGGUAUAGGGAGAGGGACAGAAUUAAAGACCAAGAUCGGAAGAGGGAGAGGGAAAGGCGUAGCGAUAGAAAUAAUAACAAAGCCAGGGACAUUAAGAGUGAUUCGCAGAAGGUCUAUAAUUCUCAUGGUGAUCCUUUAGGUGACAGAGACAAACUCAAUAGAGAUCAAGAUGAACAGGAUGAUUUUGAAGAAAGGAUUAGUAUACAAUUAGCUGAACAGGAGGAUGAUCUCGAUAGGGUUAAGGAGGAGAGUAGAAAGCGCAGCCAAGCCAUUCUUGAAAAACAUAGAAAUAAGCAACUACAGCAACAAAAUGAGUCUCAAUCAGAUGAUGUGGAAAAAGAUGUGGAACCUGCACAAUCUCCUAUUCAAUCAUUACUAGCUUCUAAUGUUGCUCCAGAAACUCUUGAUACUAGGAUUGACAUUGAUAUUUAUGUUGCUGAGCCAUCAUUUUCUGUGGGCAAGUUGCCUCCACAAAAUGGAGCAGAGGCUUCUGAGAGGUGUUCUGUUGCUGUGGGGCUUGGAGAGGGUACUCCCAAGAGUGAGAGGUCAGAGGAAAGAUAUUGUGAUGACAUAUUUGGCGAGACACCUGCUGGAAUUCGUAAAUUGGACAAAGGAGAUGGUUUACCAAUUAUUCGGAAUGGUCUUCAUGACAACUGGGAUGACUCUGAUGGGUAUUAUGGCUACAGAUUUGGUGAAAUACUUGAUGGUCGGUAUGAAAUUGUGGCUGCUCAUGGAAAAGGAGUCUUUUCCACAGUAGUUCGUGCAAAGGAUUUGAAGGCUGGUGUUGGUGAACCUGAAGAAGUGGCUAUAAAAAUAAUUCGUAAUAAUGAAACAAUGCAAAGAGCUGGUCAGUCAGAGGUUAAGAUAUUAAACAAACUAGCAGAUCUAGAUAAGGACAACAAGCGCCAUUGUGUUCGAUUCCUUUCAAAUUUCAAGUAUAGAAAUCAUCUUUGUUUAGUUUUUGAAUCUCUUCAUAUGAAUCUUCGUGAGGUCUUAAAAAAAUUUGGUCGCAAUAUUGGCCUGAAACUAACUGCUGUGAGGGCAUAUGCAAAGCAGCUUUUCAUUGCACUGAAGCAUCUUAAGAACUGUGGUGUUCUUCAUUGUGAUAUAAAGCCUGAUAACAUGCUGGUAAAUGAGGCAAAAAAUGUGCUGAAGCUUUGUGAUUUUGGUAAUGCCAUGUUUUCUGGUAAAAAUGAAAUUACACCCUACCUUGUGAGCCGCUUUUAUCGUGCUCCAGAAUUCUUGGCUUGCCUUAUGAUCAUCCAAUGGAUGUGUGGUCUGUUGGAUGCUGUUUAUAUGAGCUUUUUACGGGGAAAGUUCUUUUUCCUGGUACUACAAAUAAUGAAAUGUUGCGACUUCACAUGGAACUGAAAGGCACUUUUCCAAAGAAGAUGCUUAAGAAGGGUGCAUUUGUUGACCAGCAUUUUGAUCAAGAUUUGCAUUUUCAUGCUACAGAGGAGGAUCCUGUUACUAAAAAAACUGUAAAAAGGAUGAUUCUAAAUAUAAAGCCAAAGGAUAUUGGGUCGGUUGUUACAAGUUCUCCGGGUGAGGAUCUAAAGAUGUUGGCCAAUUUUAGAGAUAUUCUAGAUAAAAUUUUUGUAUUGGAUCCUGAGAAGAGGAUGACGGUUCAUCAAGCACAACUUCACCCAUUCAUCACUGGCAAGUGAACCAUGUUGCUGAUUUUCUGACACCAGAAUUGCUGUUGUGCUAGAUAUUAGUGCAUUAUGACUUAAUAUUCGGUUAUCUAAUCAUUGGGUAUUAUGUCUUAAUCUUCUAUAUGCUGGCCUAUGAGCUCUGCACAGUUGUAGCCGUCGUUGAAAUCAGAGGUGGUGAUGUUUGGUCAGGAGUACUGGCAGUUCUUUCAUGGGAAAUUUACUGUUUCUAUUGUAAGACAACUUGCCAAAGGUGUUCUCCCCCUCUUGUAACUAUUCUUAAUUAUGGGCAUUGUGAAAAUUUAUCAUGUUUGUUCUCUAUUUCCUUGUCACAAUUAUAUUUGUACUUUGUAUGUGGUUGCUGCAAUUGAAUUAUGGCAAAUCAAAAGGAAAAGAAAAUUGGGAUUUCUGUGGUUAAGGACAAUCA